UACACUAACAUGUAAAAAUUCAAAUUACAUACGUUUAAGUAUUCAUUUAUUAUACAGCCUCAUCACCAUGCACAUCAACACGUAUCACGUUUUUUUCUUACUACUCUCCUUCUGGAACUGCAUAUUUUUGAGCACUCAAGGGCUAAUUAAGAGUAAUGAAAAUACUGCUGGUGAGGAAGAGGUGACCAACAUGCUUCAAUUUAAAUAUGAAGCGCUGAAACGGCUCGGUAUUACUCCUCCCCCGGGUUUUACACCAUUUGGUCUUACGAAUCUGAUAGAUUAGCACCUACAGUAAAGCAGCAUCUUCUACAUCAAAUUCAUGGUCGUGCUGAGCUAAUUACAAUAAAAACCGAUUAAAAUGCCAGGUUCUGGACACUGAAUUAACGACUUCAAAUUGAACUCCAUCCCAUAUCUUUGGUACAUGUUUUACUCAGAUUUAUUACAAUAUGUUUAUACUUUUUUUACACAUUUUUUUUUUUUUUGCCAAAUUUCUCUAAAAUUUCACCAGUUCUUGUGUUUACAAGAAGUUUAAAUAACAUUCAAAAAUGAUUCACAUACUAUAGGUAACUUACUUUGAAGUAAUUUUAACGACAGUUUGUACAUAUAAAGGUACUUAAGUGUAAGUUUGGUCGAAUUUCUAACAAUUCGAAAAAUUCUGUCAAUAUUUUAAGUAAAUAUUAUUCAACGUUCUGAGAAAAUAUAACACAAUCAUAACUUGAA